rnacentral:rRNA from 1 species
CGCGUAGCGAAAGCGAAUGCUUUGGGGUGGGGUGACUGCGUACCUUUUGUAUAAUGGGUCAGCGACUUAUAUUCUGUAGCAAGGUUAACCGAAUAGGGGAGCCGGAGGGAAACCGAGUCUUAAUUGGGCGUUAAGUUGCAGGGUAUAGACCCGAAACCCGGUGAUCUAGCCAUGGGCAGGUUGAAGGUUGGGUAACACUAACUGGAGGACCGAACCGACUAAUGUUGAAAAAUUAGCGGAUGACCUGUGGCUGGGGGUGAAAGGCCAAUCAAACCGGGAGAUAGCUGGUUCUCCCCGAAAGCUAUUUAGGUAGCGCCUCGUGAAUUCAUCUCCGGGGGUAGAGCACUGUUUCGGCUAGGGGGCCAUCCCGGCUUACCAACCCGAUGCAAACUGCGAAUACCGGAGAAUGUUAUCACGGGAGACACACGGCGGGUGCUAACGUCCGUCGUGAAGAGGGAAACAACCCAGACCGCCAGCUAAGGUCCCAAAGUCAUGGUUAAGUGGGAAACGAUGUGGGAAGGCCCAGACAGCCAGGAUGUUGGCUUAGAAGCAGCCAUCAUUUAAAGAAAGCGUAAUAGCUCACUGGUCGAGUCGGCCUGCGCGGAAGAUGUAACGGGGCUAAACCAUGCACCGAAGCUGCGGCAGCGACACUGUGUGUUGUUGGGUAGGGGAGCGUUCUGUAAGCCUGCGAAGGUGGCCUGUGAGGGUUGCUGGAGGUAUCAGAAGUGCGAAUGCUGACAUAAGUAACGAUAAAGCGGGUGAAAAGCCCGCUCGCCGGAAGACCAAGGGUUCCUGUCCAACGUUAAUCGGGGCAGGGUGAGUCGACCCCUAAGGCGAGGCCGAAAGGCGUAGUCGAUGGGAAACGGGUUAAUAUUCCCGUACUUGGUGUUACUGCGAAGGGGGGACGGAGAAGGCUAUGUUGGCCGGGCGACGGUUGUCCCGGUUUAAGCGUGUAGGUGUGUGUUCCAGGUAAAUCCGGUUCACUUUAACACUGAGGCGUGACGACGAGGCACUACGGUGCUGAAGCAACAAAUGCCCUGCUUCCAGGAAAAGCCUCUAAGCAUCAGGUAACAUCAAAUCGUACCCCAAACCGACACAGGUGGUCAGGUAGAGAAUACCAAGGCGCUUGAGAGAACUCGGGUGAAGGAACUAGGCAAAAUGGUGCCGUAACUUCGGGAGAAGGCACGCUGACACGUAGGUGAAGUGAUUUACUCAUGGAGCUGAAGUCAGUCGAAGAUACCAGCUGGCUGCAACUGUUUAUUAAAAACACAGCACUGUGCAAACACGAAAGUGGACGUAUACGGUGUGACGCCUGCCCGGUGCCGGAAGGUUAAUUGAUGGGGUCAGCGCAAGCGAAGCUCCUGAUCGAAGCCCCGGUAAACGGCGGCCGUAACUAUAACGGUCCUAAGGUAGCGAAAUUCCUUGUCGGGUAAGUUCCGACCUGCACGAAUGGCGUAAUGAUGGCCAGGCUGUCUCCACCCGAGACUCAGUGAAAUUGAACUCGCUGUGAAGAUGCAGUGUACCCGCGGCAAGACGGAAAGACCCCGUGAACCUUUACUAUAGCUUGACACUGAACAUUGAGCCUUGAUGUGUAGGAUAGGUGGGAGGCUUUGAAGUGUGGACGCCAGUCUGCAUGGAGCCGACCUUGAAAUACCACCCUUUAAUGUUUGAUGUUCUAACGUGGACCCGUUACCCGGGUUGCGGACAGUGUCUGGUGGGUAGUUUGACUGGGGCGGUCUCCUCCUAAAGAGUAACGGAGGAGCACGAAGGUUGGCUAAUCCUGGUCGGACAUCAGGAGGUUAGUGCAAUGGCAUAAGCCAGCUUGACUGCGAGCGUGACGGCGCGAGCAGGUGCGAAAGCAGGUCAUAGUGAUCCGGUGGUUCUGAAUGGAAGGGCCAUCGCUCAACGGAUAAAAGGUACUCCGGGGAUAACAGGCUGAUACCGCCCAAGAGUUCAUAUCGACGGCGGUGUUUGGCACCUCGAUGUCGGCUCAUCACAUCCUGGGGCUGAAGUAGGUCCCAAGGGUAUGGCUGUUCGCCAUUUAAAGUGGUACGCGAGCUGGGUUUAGAACGUCGUGAGACAGUUCGGUCCCUAUCUGCCGUGGGCGCUGGAGAACUGAGGGGGGCUGCUCCUAGUACGAGAGGACCGGAGUGGACGCAUCACUGGUGUUCGGGUUGUCAUGCCAAUGGCACUGCCCGGUAGCUAAAUGCGGAAGAGAUAAGUGCUGAAAGCAUCUAAGCACGAAACUUGCCCCGAGAUGAGUUCUCCCUGAGACUUAGAGUCUCCUGAAGGAACGUUGAAGACGACGACGUUGAUAGGCCGGGUGUGUAAGCGCAGCGAUGCGUUGAGCUAACCGGUACUAAUGAACCGUGAGGCUUAACCUUACAACGCCGAAG